GCAGCCGCCGCGGUAAUACGAAGGGGGCUAGCGUUGUUCGGAAUUACUGGGCGUAAAGCGCACGUAGGCGGAUAUUUAAGUCAGGGGUGAAAUCCCGCAGCUCAACUGCGGAACUGCCUUUGAUACUGGGUAUCUUGAGUAUGGAAGAGGUUAGUGGAAUUGCGAGUGUAGAGGUGAAAUUCGUAGAUAUUCGCAGGAACACCAGUGGCGAAGGCGGCUAACUGGUCCAUAACUGACGCUGAUGCACGAAAGCUAGGGGAGCAAACAGGAUUAGAUACCCGCGUAGUCCCUGUCUCUUAUAC
rnacentral:rRNA from 1 species